rnacentral:rRNA from 1 species
CAGCAGCCACGGUAAUGCGUAGGGUGCGAGCGUUAAUCGGAAUUACUGGGCGUAAAGCGUGCGCAGGCGGUUCGUUAAGACAGAUGUGAAAUCCCCGGGCUUAACCUGGGAACUGCAUUUGUGACUGGCGAGCUAGAGUAUGGCAGAGGGGGGUAGAAUUCCACGUGUAGCAGUGAAACGCGUAGAGAUGUGGAGGAAUACCGAUGGCGAAGGCAGCCCCCUGGGCCAAUACUGACGCUCAUGCACGAAAGCGUGGGGAGCAAACAGGAUUAGAUACCCCUGUAGUCCCUGUCUCUUAUAC